UUCUUUUCAAGGUUAAUUAACGUACUCUUCUGUUUGAACAAACUUGCCCCCUAUUGCUUCGAGUUUUUACUAAGGUGAAAGAAACAGUUGGGAUUGAUGAUAUAAGAAAGAGAUACCAUGAACUUGGUAUGUUUAUGAAUUGGCUUCCUCUGCAGAGAGUGAGUUGGCUGGGGUACAACAAGAGUUUCUCAAGGUGUGGUACUUUCAUAUGGUAUUGCUGAUAGAAGAGAAAAGGGGAGCUGGGGUAGAAGCUCGAGAGCUUAAGUAAGAUGAUGAAGUGUGGCUGGUCGGUAGAGCAGUUUAGAGCACCAGAUGAUCUGGUAU